GUGCCAGCAGCCGCGGUAACACGAACUGCGCAAACGUUAUUCGGAAUCACUGGGCUUAAAGAGUUCGUAGGCGGCGCGUUAAGUCGGGUGUGAAAUCCCUCGGCUCAACCGAGGAAUUGCGCCCGAAACUGGCGUGCUUGAGUAAGAUAGAGGUGAGCGGAACUGAUGGUGGAGCGGUGAAAUGCGUUGAUAUCAUCAGGAACACCGGUGGCGAAAGCGGCUCACUGGGUCUUAACUGACGCUGAGGAACGAAAGCUAGGGUAGCGAACGGGAUUAGAUACCCUUGUAGUCC
rnacentral:rRNA from 1 species